AGAGCGGAGCCAGGGCACGGGGGCAGCGGNCGGCGGGGCGGAGCCGCCGUCGCCAUGGGGACGGGCUGCGGCCUGUCGGACGGAGGUGGCGAAACGUCUUGUGGUGAAAAAUCUUGUGGUGAAAAUAUGUGGAUAUGGGGAACGUCUGUGAGGCAACACCAGCGCGGGGUGUGCUUGGCUAUCAGGGAACCCGCGCCGUGCUCCUAUGAGGGUGAGGCGGGACGUGCAACAUCACGGCGCUCUCCUCGCCCGCUUUACAAGCCGGUCUGCGGGCAGUGAGGAGGUUUCUCCUUCCCUCAGCUUUCCACUCCGGUUUUCCCUAGAGACGUCGUGGAGGGUUUGUCAGGCGAGCGAGACAGCGUGCUGCCUUCAUGUUACUGAAAAACAGCUUCACAGCAUCGUAGAAUGAUUUGGGUUGGAAGGGAUCUGAAGGACCAUCCAGUUCCAACCCCCUCCCUUGGGCAGGGACACCUUCCACUAGACCAGGGUGCUCAAAGCCCCAUCCAGCCUGGCCUUGAACACUUCCAGGGAUGGGGCAUCCACAGCUUCUCUGGCCAACCUGUGCCAGUGCCUCACCACCUUCGCAUUGAAGAAUUUCUUCCUGAAGGCAAUGAAGAGAAGGCAAUCCAAAGACUUGAGGAGAAGCUUUGGGCAGACCUUGGGGGCUGCACACAGUCCUUACACCUUGCUGGCUGGCAGAAUUUAUUACACCUGCAUGUAAACACACGGACUUCUUUUUCCACAUCUUACUUCUUCUCAACUUUCCUUCUGUAAGCUAAGAAAUGCCAAUUUAAACACAGACCUUUCCUACUGUAAAUACUGCUGUUUCAUAAUGUAUACAUCUAUCAUGAAGACUGUCUUGCCUUCUGAAGUUCAGUUUGUGUAUAAUUACUUUCAGCAUCAGGUAGAAAUGUAUCUAACAUAUAUUGCUACUCUUUAUCAUGGUGUAAAGCACAAAAAUAAAAUUUAUUUUAGUGAUGACA
rnacentral:lncRNA from 1 species